UACGUAGGGUGCAAGCGUUGUCCGGAAUUAUUGGGCGUAAAGAGUUCGUAGGCGGUUUGUCGCGUCCGUUGUGAAAGCUUGGGGCUCAACCCCAAGUCUACAGUGGAUACGGGCAGACUAGAGUCAGGUAGGGGAGAACGGAAUUCCUGGUGUAGCGGUGAAAUGCGCAGAUAUCAGGAGGAACACCGGUGGCGAAGGCGGUUCUCUGGGCAUUACCUGACGCUGAGGAGCGAAAGUGUGGGGAGCGAACAGG
rnacentral:rRNA from 1 species